UAUCAAGUGAAUGAAAUAGUUUCAGGAAAACGAAGUUGCAAGAAACAAUUGGAAACAGUUUAACUUAGGAAAAGAGGUGUGGUAGAGCAAUUCUUGCCUGCAAACGAGGGAAGAAACCUGGAGUUAGAAACAUGUGGCUUGAAUCAUCACACUCAAGAUGACGUCCUGUGUAAAUGCAGUCUGGCAUGCUUAGCUGCCACCUCUGAGGCUUUCCUCUGCCUUCUUCAAGAAUGGAAGGAAUCAAUAGCAGGGAAUUUGGAUCUGAUGGAUCUUCCUCAUAACAAAGUUCAAGUUUUAGCAUCAUCCUUACAAGGUCACUAGCGUCUAAAUUCUCAAAAAUCUUUGAACCCAUACCAGGAAUAGGGCUCUGCAAACUUCCUCUUAAGAUUUUUUCUAAUUCCUUCCUGCUAAUAAAUCCAUUGUUUUCAGAGUGUUGCUUCUUAACAUUCAACUUUAUGAGCUGACCAAGGACUUCGCCACAGAACCACUCAAAAUCUAAGAUUAGAAAAUCCAACUCAUCAAAAUAAAUCACCUCACCAAUGUGAUGAAGACAGCUCACCAAAUUCCUUCCACUUCAUGGCUGGCUUGUUGUAGUUCUCAGAUCUCCAGUCUGAUAAAAUCUGUAUCAGAUCAUUGCAAAGUUGAUAGACCCGUGGCACUCUUUGAAGAAUUGUCUUGCUCGUCUUUCGGAUGUGAUGAGUGAGUUUACUAACUGAUGCUGAUGAUCUUGCAUCAACUGUGAAAACAGUUGGGUAAAAAUCAACAAAGCCUUGAAACUUGUCUCUAAGUCUCUGAAUUGACUCUACUGCGAGCUGAAAAUUUUGUGAUGGUUGAUUGAUUUUGUCAGAGUGUGUGAGAACAACAGCAACACUUGGUAGCAUGCAUUGUUGUAUUGCUCUUUUAGAAUUGGAAACUAUGAACCUGAGCCAAUACUGCAGGUCCUCUUCAAUUUCUGUUGAGCUUUUUGGUUCUUUGUUACUUGGUUUCCUGAAUAAACUUGAUAUGAUGAGGAAAAAUGAUGCACUCCCAUGCCCUGGGAACAUAAGAUCAUGGAGAGAUAAAAACUCGUGAUGACCAGAAAGGUUCCAUAUUGAAAUCCUUGUAUCCUCAUCCUUGAAAGUUUUUAUCUUCAUUCCUACUGAUUUGACUGCCUGCUCCACUGGGUUCACUAUUGUUCUGACUUGAUCCAAGUAGGGAAGCGGCGAAGCAGAGAAAUUUUGUGAUAUUGAAUGACAAAGUGAGGUUUUGCCUGAAA
rnacentral:sRNA from 1 species